rnacentral:rRNA from 1 species
UGGGGAAUUUUGGACAAUGGGCGAAAGCCCGAUCCAGCAAUGCCGCGUGCAGGAAGAAGGCCUUCGGGUUGUAAACUGCUUUUGUACGGAACGAAACGGUCUGCCCUAAUACGGUGGGCUAAUGACGGUACCGUAAGAAUAAGCACCGGCUAACUACGUGCCAGCAGCCGCGGUAAUACGUAGGGUGCGAGCGUUAAUCGGAAUUACUGGGCGUAAAGCGCGCGCAGGCGGUUCUAUAAACAAGAUGUGAAAUCCCCGGGCUCAACCUGGGAAUGGCAUUUGUGUCUGUAGAGCUAGAGUACGGUAGAGGGGGAUGGAAUUCCGCGUGUAGCAGUGAAACGCGUAGAUAUGCGGAGGAACACCGAUGGCGAAGGCAAUCCCCUGGACCUGUACUGACGCUCAUGCACGAAAGCGUGGGGAGCAAACA